rnacentral:pre_miRNA from 1 species
UACCGUUAGAUCGAGAAAUGGACGUCCGAGAUUCGUCUACGUCACCAUGAGUUAAAAUUUAACUCGCAGAUUCACUCAUGAGUUAAAAUUUUACUGGGAGUUAAAUUUUAACUCAUGGUGACGUGGACGAAUCUCGGACGUCAUUUCUCAAUCCAACGGUA